rnacentral:rRNA from 1 species
AACGAACGCUGGCGGCAUGCCUAACACAUGCAAGUCGAGCGCCCGUAGCAAUACGGGAGCGGCGCACGGGUGAGUAACGCGUGGGAACCUGCCCAGAGGUUCGGGACAACCGCGGGAAACUGCGGCUGAUACCGGAUGAUACCUGAGGGUCAAAGAUUUAUCGCCUUUGGAGGGGCCCGCGUCAGAUUAGGUAGUUGGUGAGGUAACGGCUCACCAAGCCUGUGAUCUGUAACUGGUCUGAGAGGAUGACCAGUCACACUGGGACUGAGACACGGCCCAGACUCCUACGGGAGGCAGCAGUGGGGAGUAUUGGACAAUGGGGGCAACCCUGAUCCAGCAAUGCCGCGUGGGUGAUGAAGGCCUUCGGGUUGUAAAGCCCUUUCGGCGGGGACGAUGAUGACGGUGCCCGCAGAAGAAGCCCCGGCUAACUUCGUGCCAGCCGCCGCCGUAA